rnacentral:tRNA from 1 species
GGCCAGUUGGCCGAGCGGUCUAUGGCGCAGCACUCAAGUUGCUGUAUCGUAAGAUGCGAGGGUUCGAAUCCCUCACUGGUCA